AUGACCCCUGAGCGCUGCUUGGUCUUCUUCUAUGGUGGGCUUCGCCUGGCUGUUCUAUCAGCGCCAUCUGCCAUGAAAAUCCUGCAGCCCCGGUCUGUUUCGCGGACCCCCCAGAAGAUCUGCAGGAUCGAGUGUGCGGUGAUCGGCGUGCCGGCGGUGGGCGACGGGGUCCACUGGUACAGGGAGACGCACUCGCAGCACCUGCACUGGAUCGCCUAUUUCAUCGACGACACUCUGCAGUCCACCCUGGACCCCCUGAGUGACAGGUUCUUCGUGGUUCGAGCCAGUGAGAUGAACACGUUCGUGCUGACCAUCACGGACGCGAGAGCGGAGGACAGCGGGGUCUACUACUGCGCCGCCCGAGGGGGUCACGCUGUCUUCAACUCCCCUACAUGUCGUUCAUAA